AACAACAACAACAGUUAAACAACAAUGGCUGCCAUUCCCUAUAUUGCUAACUGUGCUUAGUGGUCUUCUGUGCCGUUUGUCUUUCACGUUUCGAUGCAGUGUUAACUGUUAAGGUGAAUAUUUUAAAAUGUUUUAGCAGAUUAAGUAUUGCUAAACCCAAUUAGUGGGUCAUGCCGACUACUUCCGCGUAUUUAAAGUUCACACAGUUUAAGUGAGUGCUAACUAAAAAACUAAGUGUUAACUCAACCCAAAAAAAAGUCGCAAGUCACCAUGUAACUUGGAGAAAAUAUUACGAGUUAACGUGAAAGGGUCGUGGCCGUAAUACAGCCUACUGCCUACCGUCAACUAUUAUGUUCAAAAUCAUAGUAUUCUACUGAAUGUGCCAUCGAAAUUAUACAGGAGUCAUAAUUAUCUGCUGUUUGUAUUGGACUUGCUAGAUCACCAACCCCAGCAUAGACCAAUCUCUCAUUUCUUUUUCUCGAGAGAAGAUUGGAUAACUGAUUGGUGUUUUCAUGUGUAGGUUCACUUAUCAUGUCACUGAACUUUUUCCGUUGCAGUCUAAUAUGUAUUUAAAGUAUUGAUCUCCACUUAUGUCUAUCUAAUGUU